GGGCUUGAUGACCAUCAGGUCCGCGAGCAUCUGACUACGGAUCAGAAGGUUAGGGGUUCGAGUCCCUUCGGGCGCA
rnacentral:tRNA from 1 species